ensembl:miRNA
CUGGUAGAAUGGCCCAUGAUGGAGAGCUAUAAAUAGCUUCACUUGGACACUCUUCUUGGC